GGACUACCGGGGUUUCUAAUCCGUUUUGCUCCCCACGCUUUCAUGCCUCAAUGUCAGUAACAGAAUAGUUAACUGCCUUCGCCAUAUCGGUGUUCUUCCAUAUAUCUACACAUUUUACCGCUCCACAUGGAGUUCCGUUAACUUCUCCUGCACUCAAGUUUAACAGUAUUAUUAACUUCCACAGGGUUAGGCCCUGAUUUUCCACUAAUAACUUACUAAACCAUCUACGCAUCCUUUACGCCCAAUGAUUCCGGAUAACGUUCGCCACCUAUGUCUUACCGCGGCUGCUGGCAC
rnacentral:rRNA from 1 species